CAGCCGCCCGGGCGCGCCUGCGCGGUCUGCGGGAACAGUCCGGGCGCCGCGGGCCAGAGCGCGGGUUCUCCAGACGAGGAACCUCGGGCCCCUGCCAGCGGCGCUGCCCGGGACACGCCUGAAGUAGCGGGAGCAGCGUCUCCGUCGUCCCUGGGGGCAGAGAAGAGGCCCAGCGGCUGACCCCGGGCUCUCCGCCUCCGCUCCCCGCCGCGCUUUGUCUGUGUCUGUCGCCCCCCGGUGGCCUGGCGAGGCACCGCGCCCGCCUCGCUCCUCGCGGUGGCGCCCCCUCCCGGCUGGGCGUGUCCCUGCGCCAGGCGGCGCGUUCCAGGAGGGAACCCUGGGGUUGGAGACCAGCCUGGGCAACGUGGCGAGACCCUGUCUCUAAAAAAAAAAAAAAGGAAAUAUUUUUAAUUUUUUAAAAUUAGCCGACGUGGCGGCACGUGCGUGUAGUCCCAGAAAGUCCGUCACUGAAUGUUCACCAGGACACCUCUGCAGUCAGACGGUAGCCCGAGUGGAGGGACAGAGCAAGGCUGUAAUCGUUUUCCUUUUUCUAAGGCCUCGCACAGGAAAUGCCCACGGUGCUCAACUCCCAGCGGUGAAGGCAUUGACACGAAGGGAAUAACUUCUGCAGAGCUGAAGCCACAGGAAGACCCACCAGUUCCAGCAGGGCCGGUUCCCUGAUGCUCUGACUGCCAAGGUUCCUGCAGGCCUGGCCGCCCCGCACAAAACGGCACCUUCUUGCUGCUGCUUAGAUUUGCAUUUACUUAAUCACUGAGGCUGAACGUUUCUCAGCAGCUCAAUUAACCCAAUUAGUUUCCGCUUUGGCCGCCUUGUCCGUGACCUUCACCCAUGUCACUCUCAGGGUCUCAGUGGUUUCCCAUCGGUUUCCUGAGCCCGGUGGGUGCCACGGUGCCAGCACUCUGCCCAGUUUCCCACAGACGGCUUUCCCAUCGUCUGCCGUCUGACUUUGUAACUGAUGUCACCGGUACUUUUAACUUUGGGCCACAGCUCUUUUCUUUUGUGCUGUCUCCCGUGACGUCCAACCUUAGAAAGCUCUUAUCUCUCCAGAGGGCUGACAAAUGUCUAAUACUAUUUUUUUUUUUAGGAAAGAUUGGUUUUUAAAAACACAAAAACCUUUCUGGCAUCUAAUCCCGUCCCCAGGUGUUUGGCGGGUGGUGUGAGGACGGACCAGCUCUGGGGGCUCGGGGGCUGGCAGGUGGGUGAGGCCCCGCUGUUGCUCCAGUCACUGAGGUCCCUGUACCUCGUUCCUCGGGACUCCAGCUUUCCCUGGCCCCUCACUUUCUGAAGCGAAUCCUGGUUUUGUGGCUUGCUUGGCUUUGAGGCAGAGCCACUCUGAGAGGAACUGGCUUUUAAAAAGCGGGGUCAGGGACAGAGAAAGCUGCCCAGGAGAGAGUAGCCCCAAAGCUCUGGAACCACCUCUGAGAUUGGGAGAGUCGUGGUAGGAUGGCUGCAGAAAUGCGGCCACCCAGACGCUGGGAAACACUCCCCAGGGUUUAUAAUUAGACAUAUUUUUACCCCUUAAAGCAGUGGUCCCCAACCAUUUUGGCACCAGGGAUUGGUUUCAUGGAAGACAAUUCUUCCA